CUGCUGCCUUCCGUAGGAGUUUGGGCCGUGUCUCAGUCCCAAUGUGGCCGUCCACCCUCUCAGGCCGGCUACUGAUCGUCGCCUUGGUGGGCCCCACCCCGCCAACAAGCUAAUCAGACGCGGGUCCAUCUUACACCACCGGAGUUUUUCACACCGGGCCAUGCGGCCCUGUGCGCUUAUGCGGUAUUAGCACCUGUUUCCAGGUGUUAUCCCCCUGUGUAAGGCAGGUUACCCACGCGUUACUCACCCGUCCGCCACUCGAA
rnacentral:rRNA from 1 species